UACAAACAAGAAAAUUUAAAAUUAAUUAAAAAUGCUUUAAUAGAUAAUAACUACCCAAUAGAUUUCAUUAACAAAUAUUGUAAUAAGAGAUGGAAACAUCUAGUAGAUAAAAAAAAUAAUAAAAUCAACAAUAGAAACAUUACAAAUAAUUUAGAUAUGUCUAAAACUAUUAGUUUCCCACAUGAUGAUAAUUUGAACAUAUUUCUAAGAAACGUUUUUAGAAAAUAUAAAAUUCCGGUAACCUUUAAAAUUGAAAAUAGUUUAAAACAGUUCUAUAAUAGUGGAAAGGAUCCUAUAAAUCAUUUAGAAAAAUCAGAUUGUAUUUAUAAAGUAAAUUGUAUGAAUUGUGAAAAAUGUUAUGUUGGCCAAACGAAAAGAUGGCUUAAAACUAGAAUAAAUGAACAUAAAAACAAUAUUAAACUUAGCCCAAGCAAACAUAACAUGCUUACAAUUCAUAGAAUUAAUAAAGACCAUAAUUUUAAUUAUGAUCAAGUUAAAAUUUUAGAUACAGAAUCAAAUUACAGAAAAAGAUUAAUAUUAGAAUCAAUAUAUAUAGAAAGAGAUAAAAAUACAGUCAACAAAAGAAAAGAUACAGAAAAUUUAAAUGAGUCUUAUAACAACCUUAUUAAACAAAAAUAGAGUCAAUAUUCACCAACAUUCAUAAAAUUUAAAUUAUACAAAUAAAUUACAAACCAUAUUAUCUACAAUAGUAGAACUAUAAUAGAGUCAGAUAUAACAAUAAUGAACUAAAUUUAAUAGUAAUUAUAAUAUUCACCAACAGUCAUAAAUUUUAAAUUUAUACAAAUAAAUUAAAAUACCACAUUAUCUACAAUAGUACAAGUAAAAGAUCAAAAAUCAAUGUACCGAUAAAUAAAAUAACUCGAUUACCGAAAACUACAAGAUAAAAAAUCAAUGUAUAAAUAAACAAAAUAACUCUAUUACCGACUACAAACUAACCAAAAAAUAUCACAUUAUAACAUCAAUCGUUGAAGGUACAACAUUAUAACUUUUCUUUAUAUAUAACAAUAAAAUAACAAUAGUUAAUAAUUAUAAAAUAUAAAUUACUUGUAAAAAUGAAAAAGAAAAAGAAGAAAAAAAUCAUUUACGUAAAUUUUUCACAUUUAAUAAGAUCUAUAAUUAGUAAAAUUGUAUUUAAAAUUAAAUAAUAAUUUCAUAUUUUUAUUAAAAAUUUCCACGUUUCAAUAUUGAAGUCUGAAGAUGCCAUCCCCGGGAGGUUGGCGAAAUAUUACUGAAUAAAAUAUUUGAAAUUGGAUUGGAUUGCCAGUGAAGUCAUUUUAUAUAUAAUAAAACUAAUGUUAUUUUAUAUUAAUUCGAGUGGAUCUAAUAAAAUUCAAUGUUUUAUCGUUUAACUCCAUCUAGAACCUAGUUGAGUUAUCCGACGGACGAAGUUGAGGUUUGUUAGAUUGAUCGUUGACAAUUAAAAUCUGUUCAACUCAGAACUAUUAUUCAAAUUAAUAAUUAUUUAUCUGAAUUCAACUUAGAAUAUUCUAGUACUCAAAUAAAUUUGUUUUAAUAUUCUAUG